rnacentral:rRNA from 1 species
GUCCACGCCGUAAACGAUGAUCACUCGCUGUUGGCGAUACACUGUCAGCGGCCAAGCGAAAGCUUUAAGUGAUCCACCUGGGGAGUACGAUCGCAAGGUUGAAACUCAAAGGAAUUGACGGGGGCCCGCACAAGCGGUGGAGCAUGUGGUUUAAUUCGAUGAUACGCGAGGAACCUUACCAGGGCUUGAAAGUUAGCGACCGGUGCCGAAAGGUACCUUCCCUUCGGGGCGCGAAACUAGGUGCUGCAUGGCCGUCGU